AUAAGAGGUCCCGCCUGCCCUGUGACUAUAAGUUUAACGGCCGCGGUAUUUUAACCGUGCGAAGGUAGCGUAAUCACUUGUCUUUUAAAUGAAGACCUGUAUGAAUGGCAUCACGAGGGCUUAGCUGUCUCCCAUCUCCAGUCAAUGAAAUUGACCUCCCCGUGCAGAGGCGGGGAUAAUUACAUAAGACGAGAAGACCCUGUGGAGCUUUAGACCUAAAGUAAGUCACGUUUAACAUGCUGAGAAAACAGUAAAAACUUAGUGAUAAUUACCGAAGUGUCUUUGGUUGGGGCGACCGCGGGGUAAAAUACAACCCCCAUGUGGACCGGGGAUAUUAUCCCUAAUACUCAGAGCCUCUACUCCAAGUAACAGAAAUUCUGACUUUUCUGAUCCGGUAUAACCGAUCAACGAACCGAGUUACCCCAGGGAUAACAGCGCAAUCCCCUCCCAGAGCCCAUAUCGACGAGGGGGUUUACGACCUCGAUGUUGGAUCAGGACAUCCUAAUGGUGCAGCCGCUAUUAAGGGUUCGUUUGUUCAACGAUUAAAGUCC
rnacentral:rRNA from 1 species